UCUUCUGUUAUUUUCCAGCUCAAGGCUAUCCUCCUAACACGGAUGACAGCUUUUUAUUACAGUUCCUCCGCCAGCAAAAGUUUAAUUUCGAAAAGGCCGAGAAGAAGCUGAAACAGCACUACGAAAUGCGAGAAAAGGCGAACGAAAUUUACCAAACUAUGGAUUUAGAAGUGUUCAGUUUUAUGGUGGAUUGCAAACUCGUGGGAUUGUUGCCGUUCAGAGACGUAGAAGGAAGGGCUAUUUUUUUCUCCAGCGCAAAAGCAUAUGACAAGAAGAAACACAAGAUGCCUGAUAUGUACAAGUGCGCCCUUGCACAUUUACACUUCGCUAAUUCUUUCCCCCUCUCUUCAGUCAGUGGCAUAAACUAUGUGGGAUUUGUAGACGAUUUGAGUCCUCUUGAUGCUAUCCCGUUUUUCACUGAAGGCAGAAAAUACAUUUGGAUUGAGAGAUGUAGUACUUUCAGGUUACAGAGAAUAGAUUACUUUGAUGAAUUUCCUUUGUUCCGUUAUCUGUGGAAGGGGAUUAGACCUUUUUUGCCCUUAAAAUUUGCUGAAAGAGUA